rnacentral:lncRNA from 15 species
AUGUUGAAUGUCUGUAGGAUUGUAGCAGUUAAAAAAAAAGACCAUAGAACUGGCACAGGGGGCGGCCCACCAAGCCAGGAUAUGACCCCGGCGGAGGAGCUGGCACUCCAUUUAAAUAAAGGGAGGCCAGUGAUGGAGGGAAUCCAGGGAGGGACUGUAACGGACUCUAUCCCAGCCACAGAAACUGUCCGCUUCAUACAAGAGCUGGCAGACCUUAAAAUAAAACUGAAGAAGAGAAAGCUCCAAGAAAUGGAGCUGGAUCUUGAAAUUAAACGUCGGACACUCAGGAAACUGGACCUGGAAAUCCAGAAACUAGAAAGAGAAGAUCCAAGCAACCAAGGCAAAUGAGGGCUGCCAAAUAAAAAUUCAACUAGAAAACAUUGUGGUGUCGUCCGUUUUUCAUGAAUGUGAAGUAGAAUUUAAAAGAACCACCAAUGCUAAACAACACAGCAAAAAGUAACAUUUAAGAUCUUUUAUUAACUAAAGAGGCUAAAUCCAAAAAUUAAGAGAAGAAAUGUGCAAUAUAUUGCUCCCUGACAAGUCUGCCAUUAAUGUUGUCUGGGAAGAUGGGAGCAUUUUCCCAGUCAACAUGAACAGCCACUCGGGGGGGCCUCUCCUUUCUCAGGCCUGCAAUGUUAUGCAGUACUGCGCUUGCAGCAAUGACAUCACAGGCCCUGUCCGGGGAAACUCUCAGGUGGUGCAGGCACUGAAACUGAGAUUUAAGAAGGCCGAAGGUCAUCUCGAUUCGAGCCCUUGUCUUAUUGUUGUUAUUGUUGUCUUGUUAAAGAGUUCGGUCUAGACCUGCUCUAUUUGAAAAGUGUCCUGAGAUAACUUCUGUUAUGAAUUGGCGCUAUACAAAUAAAAUUGAAUUGAAAAAAUUGAAUUGAAUUAUUGUGUGCGUGGUUGUAGGCCUGCUGUGGUGGGGUUUGGGGGUCCGCUAGGGGAGUCAAGAGGAAUGACUCGCAGGCGUAGCCUUUGUCUCCCAGCAGCACACCAGAGAAUUCGCCUGAUAAUGCAAGAUAUCAUUUAGAAAACUACACAGCAGAGUUAAACACACAUGAUGUCCAAGGUGCUUACAGCACAAAUAAAAUGUGUGGCUUACCUUGUGAAAGUCUCUCGUAAAUUGGACUAGCCCGAAAGACUCUGGAGUCAUGCACUGAGCCAGGCCACUUUGCCUCUAAAUUGCUGACAAGGCAGUCAGCAUCACAUAUCACCUGAAAUGUUAAGUUGUAACCUAUUAAGGUCAUUUAAUGCACAGAAUUAAUUUAUGCAGGUCAUAGUAAGCACAAAUCACUCUUACCUGAACAUUGAUGCUGUGGAAGGAUUUCCUGUUAACGUAAUCUCCCUCAUGUUCUCCUGAGGGGCGUUUGAUUCUGAUGUGUGUGCAAUCCACUGCACCAAUGAUGUUAGGGAAAGCUGUAACAAAAAAUAGUGAGUAUCCAACUGUGACUGAUCAAAUUAGAAACUAAUGGUUGCACGUUUAAAUUGAGCUUACCUGCAAUCUUGUAAAACUCCUCCUGGAUGUAGAGGGGUCUUCUGUGGCCAGGGAAGGUGAUGAAUAUGUUGCUGAAUGACUUCACUGCCAGACAAACACGUCUUAUUGUGCGGCAAAUGGUUCCUUUAUUGAGGUUCUCUGCAUCCCCAACAGAAUAAAGGAAGCUCCCACUUGCAAACCAUCUCAAUGUAACACAGACCAUCAGUGGUACAGUGAGAGCAUGGCUUCCUGCCGUCUGGUGCUGUGUUUUUGGACCCAGCAGCCUACAUAAAUAUCUCAGUCCAUCACCUGAGAAUCUGUAUCUCUCAAUGAGAUAGUCAUCUCCAACAGCCAAUGGGUCUGACCUGUCCCAGAAGACUCUUUCAUGACUAAAUGCUCGUCUGAGGAUUAGGGCUUCCUCAUNNNNNNNNNNNNNNNNNNNNNNNNNNNNNNNNNNNNNNNNNNNNNNNNNNNNNNNNNNNNNNNNNNNNNNNNNNNNNNNNNNNNNNNNNNNNNNNNNNNNAGACAGGGAGAGAGACAGACAGACAGACAGACAGACAGGGAGAGAGACAGACAGACAGACAGUUAGUGAGACAGACAGGGAGAGAGACAGGGAGAGAGACAGACAGACAGACAGACAGUGAGACAGACAGUCAGACAGGGAGAGAGAUAGACAGAAGGUCAGGGGUCACUGUGUGGAUCAAAACAAAUGCUGAGGAUGAAGAGAAAACUGUCUGCCUGCCUGUCUGUCUGUCUGUCUGUCUGUCUGUCUCUGUCUCUCUCUGUCUGUCUGUCUCUCCCUGUCUGUCUGUCUGUCUGUCUGUCUCUCUCUCUGUCUCUGUCUCUCUGCCAGUCUGUCUGCCUGUCUGUCUGUAUUUUUAUACAGAAAUCAUUUAAAACGUUGAAGUUUAAAUCAUCUGUUUGUCUAUUUAUUGAUUUCUUAUUGAUUUUCUCUCAUAUUGAUUAUGCAGAGUCUGAAGUGACCAAUAUUAAACUGUAAUUACUGUUUAAUGUUCAGAGUAAUAAAUAAAACUAAUCAUCAGUGAAUAAUUAAUUCAUAUUGUACGAAUCAACCAGACUGAACUGCUGCUGUUCUUUCUUUCUUUCUACUUCAGUUAUUAUUGAUGAUUAUUAUUGGUUAUUGACUAUUAUUGUUGGUUAUUAAAGAUGAUUUGUUCUUAAAAUAUUGUUUUGUUAAUAAGAUAUAAAUAAUAAAAGCAGUUUGUCUCACCUGAGAUCAGUUUCCUGUCAGCAGCAGCAAAAACUGUCAGACUGAAGAACUGAGAGACAAAGUUCAACUGCUAUCGUCCAAUCAGAGACUCCGCCCACACACACACACACACACACACACACACACACACACACAGUAACACAGUAACACACACACACACACACACACACACACACACACACACACACACACACAUAUACACACACACUACAUAUAUUAUAUAUAUUCUUUAUAUAAUGCAGUUUAUUGUUUGUUUAUUUUUAUGUGUGUGUUGAUUUCUGCUGCCCUCUGCUGGUCUGUAUUAUUAUAUUAUUUCAUUGUUGUUUAUGUUUAUUUCUUGGUCACACACAAACACAACCAUCUGACAUCACUUCCUGUCUGAGCUCAGGUUGCAUGAGGUCUCACCUUGGUGUCGUGGUCCAGACUGUAACAAAGAACCUGCCAGGGGGGCGUGUACCUGAACAUCCUGGUCCUACUGAUCCCUACUGGUCCUACUGGUCCUACUGGAUCUGACUGGUCCUACUGGUCCUACUGGUCCUACUGGAUCUGACUGGUCCUACUGGUCCCUACUGGUCCCUACUGGUCCUACUGGUGAUGAUGAUGUCAGUCAGACCCUCAGCCAGCAGGAACCAAUCAGCAUCCACCCUGCAGAGACAAGAGGACGUGUUUAAGUCCUGAAUUAUGUAACCUUUGUUGUUGUGGCAUCCAAUCAGAAAUCAAACUGUGAGAAUAUCAUAACUCAUUUUAUUGUUGUUGUUGUUGUUGUUGUUGUUGUUGUUUUUAACACUGUAAUGACAGUUUAACAAUAAACAGAAAGUUUAAUUUAUAUGUUUACAUGUUUACAUGUUUUAAUGUCAAUCUGUACUUUCAUACAAACAUGUUUAUUUUAAAUAAAGUAAAAACAAACGCAAACAUUCUUCAUCCAAUCAGAGUUACAUGUUUACAAACUUCAGUGACGUGAACAGAGGGGUAUUGCACAAAAGUAGGAUAAAGAAAUCCAGGAUAAUUGAGCAAGCGCGGCUUGACCUAGCAUACUCGGUACUUCCUGGCUUAAUCGGUUGCACGUUUGCCGAGCCAGGAUGAAAAGGUGCGGCUAUGUUAAGCCAGGUGUAGAUAGUCGGGAUAAGUGUGUGUUCACAGCAUACUGAAAUAGACCUCGCGAUUGCUCACAGAAUCACCGAUGGGAACAUGGAUAAGAGUCGCCGGUAAAUAUUUCACGGCCGCUGAACAACAGCUCCUGAUGGAGUUCUAUGAAGAGGUGGAAGAUAUAAGAAACAAAGGCAAUACCAAUACCAUAAUUAAAGAAAGAGAGAAAGCCUGGCAGACAAUAGCGGACCGGCUUAAUGCUUAAGUAGUCCAAAACUGUACAAUGAAUAAACAGUGCUCCACUGGAACUGUCAUCAUUAGGCUCCAAUUAAAGGACUAAAGGAGUUACUUUAAGUCCACUAAUCAACUGUUGUACACUUUGCUUUAAAUGUGGCAAGUAGAGGUGCAUGUUACUUAAAUGUAGAGUAUGAUUAAGUGCAAACAAUUCAUAAAGAACAAACUUGUCUGGCCGCAAGUUACAUUAAAAAUGUUUUAAAAAGUUAAAUACAAGAACAUUUUGCAGGCUGGUCAGUGACUAUAAAGUAGAUAACAGUGAACAAAUGAGGUGAAUAGAUUAGGUGUCUGCUGACAUGUUGAAUGUCUGUAUGAUUGUAGCAAAAAAAAAAGAAAAAAUGGCACAGGGGGCGGCCCACCAAGCCAGGAUUUGUGCUGCUAAUGGUUCCUUUAUUGAGGUUCUCUGCAUCCCCAACAGAAUAAAGGAAGCUCCCACUUGCAGAACAUCUCAAUGUAACACAGACCAUCUGUGGUACAGUGAGAGCAUGGCUUCCUGCCGUCUGGUGCUGUAUUUUUGGACCCAGCAGCCUACAUAAAUAUCUUAGUCCAUCACCUGAGAAUCUGUAUCUCUCAAUGAGAUAGUCCUCUCCAACGGCCAAUGGGUCUGACCUGUCCCAGAAGACUCUUUCAUGACUAAAUGCUUAUCUGAGGUUAGGCUUCCUCAUCCGGUACAUCCUCCAAGAAAGGGCAAGCCAUUAUGAAGAAGGAACAGGUGAAUGGGAGUUGGAUAGAUAGAUAGAUAGAUAGAUAGAUAGAUAGAUAGAUAGACAGACAGACAGAUAGAUAGAUAGAUAGAUAGAUAGAUAGAUAGAUAGAUAGAUAGAUAGAUAGAUAGAUAGAUAGAUAGAUAGAUAGAUAGACAAAAUUCCAAUGUAACAGCAGCAAAGUGGAUAGAGAGAAAACAGUAUAAAUAAACAGCAAGAGUAGGGAAAUAAUAAAAAAC